rnacentral:misc_RNA from 1 species
AAAUGAAUGAACAUGGACUACGACAUAUUUUAUGCAUCUUGUAACCAAGAAAAGUGUUACACCCUCAAAAUGAUCUAGGUUGAAUUAGAGACUAACAUGUUGGUUAUGAGUUAAUUAGAUCCUUAAAUGACUAAUUGUAGUUUUAAAAGGUAGUGUAUUAUGUUUGGAGGUCAAACGUCCAAGACAUUCGAAAGUGUUGCCUUGCAAUGUGCUUGUGUGUCUCUG